AAAUAGCAUUUAAGAACAGAUAUCUCCAAAUGGCAGUUAAAUAGAGGUAAGAGAAAUAUUCAGUACCAAGGGACAGAUAUCCCUAUAUUGCAAUAUUGAUAAAUAGAUAUCAGAGAAAUAAAAUAAUGCCAGGGGUUUAGAUGUUUUCAUAUGGUAAGUUUAAUAGAGGUAAGAGAAAAUAAAAAGGGCCAGGGAACUGAUAUUCCCAUAUGGCAAGGGUGAGUGCCAGGGGACAUCCCCAUAUGGCAAGAGAAGUAAGUAGUUGCAGGGGUUACACCCCCAUGGCAGGAAAAUUAGAUGCAAGUAAGGGCAAAAAUAAUUAGCACAAGGGUAUAAAUGUACCCAAGUAGCAAGAGAAAUAAACACAAGAGAAAUAAGUAGUGCCAGGGGUUAUACCCAAAUGGCAAGAGAAAUAGGUAUAGUUAUGGUUUAAUGCUAUUUUUUAGCACCAGGGGACAGAUAGCCCCAAAUGGCAAGAGAAAUAAAGAGUGCCAGGAGACAUCCCCAAAUGGCAAGAGAAAUAUGUGUAUAGCCAGGGAACAAUACUAACUGGCCAGAAAUAAGCAGCAUAUUUUAGCAAGAAAUAUAUUUAUGGCACUAGAGUAUCUCUGUCAAGAUAUCUCUAAAUGGAAGAAAUACAGAUAACCCCAGAGGAUAUAUAUAUGGCAACAGAAGUAGUAUCAAUGGAUGCCAAAUGAGAAGGGAAAUAGCACCAGGGGACAUUCCCAAAUAGCAAAAUAUAUAGUGCCAAGGAACAUUCCCAAAUGGUAAAAGUAAUGAACAAUAAUAAUAUUUCAAUAUUAGU